GGCUCUUCCCUCAUGACUGAAUAAAAAUAUUUGGUGGGCAAAGACAACAUACAGGUGCAGAAAAUAAACCCUCUUUUGCAACCCAGACCUCAUUGUUUGGUAUGAGUUUUGAUACAUACAAGAAGGAACAUG